CGAUAGUGUAGGUGGUUAUCACAUUGGGUUCUGAUUCCAAUAACCCGAGUUCGAAUCUCGGU
rnacentral:tRNA from 1 species